rnacentral:tRNA from 1 species
GUUUUAAUAAUUUAUUAUAAAAUAUUGGUCUUGUAAAUCAAAAAAAAGAUUUUUCUUUUAAAACU